GCCAGCAUGUUGUAGUGGUAUGAGUAUUGCUCCAACUCAGGAGACCAGGGUUCGAUUCCCAGCUCGGCCA